GACGGAGGGCGCGAGCGUUGUUCGGAAUUACUGGGCGUAAAGCGCGCGCAGGCGGAUACGCAAGUCGGAGGUGAAAGCCCGGGGCUCAACCCCGGGACGCCCUCCGAUACUGUGUGUCUGGGGACUGGUAGAGGCAGGUGGAAUUCCCGGUGUAGCGGUGGAAUGCGUAGAUAUCGGGAAGAACACCGGUGGCGAAGGCGGCCUGCUGGGCCAGAUCCGACGCUGAGGCGCGAAAGCGUGGGGAGCAAACAGG
rnacentral:misc_RNA from 1 species